CUUAACACAUGCAAGUCGAACGAGGCCUUCGGGCUAGUGGCGGACGGGUGAGUAACGCGUGGGAAUCUGCCCUCAGGAGGGGGAUAACGGCCGGAAACGGCCGCUAAUACCCCAUAUGCCGAGAGGUGAAACGAAAUUCGCCUGAGGAUGAGCCCGCGUCUGAUUAGCUAGUUGGUGUGGUAAUGGCUCACCAAGGCUUCGAUCAGUAGCUGGUCUGAGAGGAUGAUCAGCCACACUGGGACUGAGACACGGCCCAGACUCC
rnacentral:rRNA from 2 species